GUCCUAAAUCGCUUUCCGUAGAAAUUGCACAUGCAGAGAAGACGAGACAUGGAUGGUAUUUUCCAACUGUCAACGUACAACUUUGAAUCUGUUGUCAUCCAUAAACGAUUUGGCUCUGAAUGUGGAGGUGUAAACAGUGUUCUGAAAGUGAAUCUACAAGGCUAUCGAGGAUAUUAUUGAUGGAAUGACAGAAAUGGAGAGAGUGGCUUUGGGUGUCUACAUUGUUCGACAUGAUGGAGCAGAUGCUACAGAUCCACCUGAGGAUGUUGGCGUUGGCAUUGAAGAAUGCACAGUACUGCAAGAUCUAAGAGAGAUUGCAACUGGAUGUGCAGUCCUGUUUGGCUUGAUGUACUGUUUAAACUUGAGUUAUCCCAAGGAUACACUUUCGAAUUUUUUCAGAAAGUGUUAAUGGAAUUGGAUGGGAACAAGCUCUCCACUAGGUCCUCAAAAACAAACUGCAUGAGUAAACUCACCUGUACCAGAUAAGACUGGAAAAGACUUUUGUUGACCAUUACUUUAUUUUUGGACUGCUGCUAUACAAAAUAAAGCUGCGAUCAAUGACUGUUUGUAAUAAUUGCCAUUACAUGUGAUAAGAUCACCUAAAGCAGACAAGACUGUAGUUGGUCAUCGACUUGCUUGGGGAGGCUCAGUUCUUUUGUAUUUUGGACUGCUGCUAGACAAAACAUCCAGUAAUCUAAAGACAUUAUGUUUGUUGCAGUAAUUGGCAUUUGUUUGGUGAUUUCUAAUUGGAUCAAUAUAUAUUAAAUUGUACGCCAUGCACUGGUUUGUUUUUUAAUGUAGAAAUCUUAAAUAAUUCAAGGUGGGGGUUUUUGUUACAUAAACAUUAUACAUACAUUGAACAUUGUCAGAUGGUAAAAGCUUCACAUACAAGUUUUAUACUUUUGAAUUUUUAUUUAUAUUGGUCUAAUUGAAUUUUAUAAGUGGGUUUAUGUUAGUGUCUUAAAUUUUAUUUGUACCUUUUGUAUUUGUAUGUAAAUUUUGCUUUGGCAAAACAUUUAGUCAGUCAUGAUGUCUAUUCAAUGUUGAAU